CUGGAGCACCGAAGAGGACGCUGGAGCACCGAAGAGGACGCUGGAGCACCGAAGAGGACGCUGGAGCACCGAAGAGGACGCUGGAGCACCGAAGAGGACGCUGGAGCACCGAAGAGGACGCUGGAGCACCGAGAUCGUCGUCACGGAUAUUCAGGUAUAUUAUUUUUAAAUUUAAUGUCUCACCAUGUUUUUUUACGUACCCAGGAGGGCUCUACUACCACCGAAGAGGAUCAUUGGACAGCGAGGUUCGCCGUCGGAGCUACCAGGAUUGUCGCCCAAGAUUGUCAAGAGGGCUCCACCACACCGAAGAGGACCACUGGACGUCGUGGAUCGCCGCUGGAGCAACGAGGGUCGCCGCUCAGCUCCGAGAUUCACGUCCAUUAGGACGACGGAAACAGAGAUGGAUCUUGAGGACUUGCAGUGAACGCAAAGAUAUAGCAAAAUCAAACACCACUCACGAAUGUCGCAUCGUUAAAAUUGAAGAGGAUUAGAGUUCAACAUGGCGACGAGAACACACCAAAUGUAAAGCCUAGACCACAGAAGGGAAUUUCAAUAAAAUCCUAGAAAUUUUCCUUGUGUUUGAAAAAUAGACUAGACCUGAAUUUGCCACCAUUUCAAGUACGUGUGUCUUGGAAGCAAUUGUGAAUGUUGUAUGCUUUUAGUAUACCGAGGAGGCACCUGCCAAGAAAAUAAAGCACAAAGUGAUUAACAUGUUCAGUUUUGUAACUUCACAGAAGGUGUCAAAGUCAAAUGUGCUGAAUAUGCUCAUAUUUUUGCACAAAUGAAAGAGAAAAGAAGGUGAAGUCCCUGGAGUUGCAGGUCUAUGCUAAGAACUUAAGGUCCAUGGAAAAGAUGGAAAAUGUCGAGCUCAUCUUGGAACAAGGACAGUAAACAAGGACUUUCAUUUAGGAUAUUCAUAGAAGAAUAAUGGCCAAUUUUUUUGGAAAGGACAUGCCUGAAUCGUGAAUAGAAGUUUUACAAGUAAA